AAUCGAAUUGAAAAUUGAAAAAGAACUUGAUCUGGGCAAGUCUGAAAUCUCAAAUGUAACAAACAAACACCCAAUUGGCAACGGCGCCAAAUUGAUAAUAGGCUUUUAAGAUCAAUUAAUCCUAAAGCACUAUCAUGUCGUUGUAGUACUGAAGGUUGUCAAUCCAAAUGAGUGUGAUGCUAACAAUCAAGAUGUGAUCAGAAGUCACUAAGUCAAGCCAAGCAAUAACAGGUUGUGGUGUGUUCUAGCAAUCCUAAGUGAACAUGCAGAAAACAGAAAAUCAAGUAGAAACAAUAAAAUACUCGACCAACACAGCUCUUUGCAGAGCACUGGUUGAGAUCGAGUGACAGGUCGAGUAGCAGACAGAAAAUAAAACACAGAUACUCGACUGCACAGUCUGUUGCCAGACAACUGGGUUGUCGAGUAACAAGAAAAAAUUGCAGAAAUUAAGCAACAGAUGACAAGAUGCAGUAAACAACAGUAGAGUAAAUAAAGAAUUCAAUCAGAUAAAGAAUUCCCGAGGAUGGGGUAAUUGAGUAGUUUCGUUUCCUUAGUUUACAGGUGAUUGACAUGCUCAAUAAAUUAUCCCUAGACAACGAGUUCAUUAAUCACAUCUAAGUGCCACCGCAACAGAGACCCUCAAGUUAACCUAGUCCCAGACUGAAUCACCAUUGACGAGAACUAACCUAACAGGCAUUACGAAUCAACAAGUUUAAACCAAAACGCUCCCUGCAACCAAUACCUUGGUACAAGGCCACGAAUCUCUGGAAUUAGUGGUUCAGACAUUUCAUCGAACACCUUUUGGGCGCGGAAAUGUCUAGGCUCAAAUUCUAGUUGAUCAGAAAGCAAUAGGCAUUAAGAACAACUAAUCCAGAAGGGAUCUAUCAAUCAAUACUCAAUCACCUAGCAUACUGAGAAUUCUACACUACUCUAACCCAUCCCCAGAAACCUAUUCACUACUCAGACAUCAUAGCAGAAAGCAUAAACGUUGAACAGGUUGAAAACAUGAUAACAACAGGAUGAUAACAGAAUGAACAACAGUAAAAGAAAUUAAGAACGAAUGCUGAAUACUGAAUAGACAAAGAGAAAUCCGGAUUACAAAGGUCUAGAACACAGUGUCUGCGGAAUAAAACUAGAUAAAAACUUGUUUUCGAAAAUGUGAAGUACAUGCUACUUAUAGCCAAAUAUUUCGAAACCCUAAUACUUAAAACGACGCAGUAUUGGGACGGAUUAAGAACUAUACUCGACCCAUGUGGUCGAGUGGGAGGUCGAGUGAAUAGCUGGAGUCUUCUUUUCUUCCUUGAGCUCGAGUGUCUGGUUGAGUGCGGAAUGAAGAAGACUCUGAAGCUUGCCAUCGAGUAUGUAGUCGAGUAGUGGUGAUGGUGAUACUCGACUUCCUGGUAGAGUGAUGUGGUCGAGUGAUGAUCAGGUAAUGGAGGUGAAGACACUCGACCACGGGGUCGAGUGAUGUGAUCGAGUGAUGGUCAAGUGAUGGGGAUGAAGACACUCGACCUAGGGGUCGAGUGAUGUGAUGAAAUCGAGAAGUCCUCUACUCGACCAGGUGAUCGAGUGGUCUCUUGAGAUCUUGAAGCUCAUACUCGACCACGGGGUCGAGUGGUUUGACAUGAUCAGGUCCGCUUCUUCCAGUUAGCUCGUCAACAGCUCCAAAUCACCUGAAAUCAACACAAAUAUGCAACAUGCAUGCAAACCUAUCCUAAACAUGUAAAGUGAUGACAAAUGAUGAGAAAUGGUAUAAAACAGUGAUGAUAUGAUGUUAAAGUGAUGACAAAUGGAUUCUCAAAACAUGCAAAAUACACACUUAUCAGAGUCGAAUAUGACUUGAUGUGAUGUGUAUGAUUGAGUAUAAGAAAUUCAACCGCAACCGGAUCUUAAAAGCCUAAGUAGUGUUUCCUUGUUAUAAGAUACAAAGGCAAAGCCUCAUACGGACUUUAGCUAUACCAUCAAAGCCUUGAGAAGCAAGAAGAAGCUUGGUUAGUGUUUUGGAGUCAAAUAUUACUAGAUGUCAUGUGUAUGAGUGAGUAUGACAACUAGAACCAUAACCGGAUCUUAAAAACCUAAGUAUUGAAUCUUUGUUAGAAGAUACAAUGACAAAGACUCAUACGGAAUUCGGCUAAACCAUCAAAGGUUUUAGAAGCAAGAAGAAGCUUGGUUAGUGUUUUGAAGUGAAAUAUGACUAGAUGUCAUGUGUACGAGUGAGUAUACCUACUAGAACCACAACCGGAUCUUAAAAGCCUAAGUGUUGUUUCCUUGUUAGAAGAUACAAAGGCAAAGCCUCAUACAAACUUUAGCUAUACCAUCAAAGCCUUGAGAAGCAAGAAGAAGCUUGGUUAGUGUUUUGGAGUCAAAUAUUACUAAAUGUCAUGUGUAUGAGUGAGUAUAAAAACUAGAACCGCAAUGGAUCUUAAAAGCCUAAAUAUUGUAUCCUUGUUAGAAGAUACAUAGACAAAGACUCAUACGAAAUUCGGCUAAACCAUCAAAGCUUUUAGAAGCAAGAAGAAGCUUGGUUAGUGUUUUGGAGUGAAAUAUGACUAGAUGUCAUGUGUAUGGGUGAGUAUACCAUCUAGAACCGCAAUUGGAAUUUUAAAAGCCUAAGUAUUGUAUCCUUGUUAGAAGAUACAAAGACAAACACUCAUACGGACUUUGGCUACACCAUCAAAGCUUUGAGAAGCAAGAAGAAGCUUGGUUAGUGUUUUGGAGUCCAAUAUGACUUGAUGUGAUGUGUAUGAUUGAGUAUAAGAAAUUAAACCGUAACUGGAUCUUAAAAGCCUAAGUGGUGUUUCCUUGUUAGAAGAUACAAAGGCAAAGCCUCAUACAGACUUUAGCUAUACCAUCAAAGCCUUGAGAAGCAAGAAGAAGCUUGGUUAGUGUUUUGGAGUCAAAUAUUACUAGAUGUUAUGUGUAUGAGUGAGUAUGACAACUAUAACCAUAAUCGGAUCUUUAAAACCUAAGUAUUGAAUCUU
rnacentral:sRNA from 1 species